rnacentral:rRNA from 1 species
UCUGUAAGCCGUUGAAGGUGUGCUGUGAGGCAUGCUGGAGGUAUCAGAAGUGCGAAUGCUGACAUAAGUAACGAUAAAGCGGGUGAAAAGCCCGCUCGCCGGAAGACCAAGGGUUCCUGUCCAACGUUAAUCGGGGCAGGGUGAGUCGACCCCUAAGGCGAGGCCGAAAGGCGUAGUCGAUGGGAAACAGGUUAAUAUUCCUGUACUUGGUGUUACUGCGAAGGGGGGACGGAGAAGGCUAUGUUAGCCGGGCGACGGUUGUCCCGGUUUAAGCAUGUAGGCGGAGGUUCCAGGUAAAUCCGGUACCUUUUAACGCUGAGGUGUGAUGACGAGGCACUACGGUGCUGAAGUAACAAAUGCCCUGCUUCCAGGAAAAGCCUCUAAGCAUCAGGUAACACGAAAUCGUACCCCAAACCGACACAGGUGGUCAGGUAGAGAAUACCAAGGCGCUUGAGAGAACUCGGGUGAAGGAACUAGGCAAAAUGGUGCCGUAACUUCGGGAGAAGGCACGCUGACAUGUAGGUGAAGCCCCUGCGGGUGGAGCUGAAGUCAGUCGAAGAUACCAGCUGGCUGCAACUGUUUAUUAAAAACACAGCACUGUGCAAACACGAAAGUGGACGUAUACGGUGUGACGCCUGCCCGGUGCCGGAA